CCUACGGGAGGCUGCAGUGGGGAAUAUUGGACAAUGGGGGCAACCCUGAUCCAGCCAUGCCGCGUGUGUGAAGAAGGCCCUCGGGUUGUAAAGCACUUUCAGUGAGGAAGAACGCCUGGUGGUUAAUACCCAUCAGGAAAGACAUCACUCACAGAAGAAGCACCGGCUAACUCCGUGCCAGCAGCCGCGGUAAUACGGAGGGUGCGAGCGUUAAUCGGAAUUACUGGGCGUAAAGCGCGCGUAGGUGGCUUGAUAAGCCGGUUGUGAAAGCCCCGGGCUCAACCUGGGAACGGCAUCCGGAACUGUCAAGCUAGAGUGCAGGAGAGGAAGGUAGAAUUCCCGGUGUAGCGGUGAAAUGCGUAGAGAUCGGGAGGAAUACCAGUGGCGAAGGCGGCCUUCUGGACUGACACUGACACUGAGGUGCGAAAGCGUGGGUAGCAAACAGGAUUUGAUACCCUUGUAGUC
rnacentral:rRNA from 1 species